UUGUUGAAUCGUCGACAAAUGACUUCGCAGCGGGAAGAUUGAAAAAAUCAGACAAGAAGAAAAAAAAAAACUUCGAAGCCAAAAAAGUGAAUCAAUGGAGAUUUUGACGAGCAUGGCGAUUAUAGUAGUAACAACGAUCUUCAUCGUUCUGUCUUUCGCACUCUAUCUCACGAUCAGAAUCUUCACCGGGAAAUCCAGAAACGACAAGAGGUAUACUCCAGUACACGCCACAAUCUUUGAUCUUUUCUUCCAUAGCGACAAAUUAUACGAUUACGAGACAGAGAUCGCGAGGAUAAAGCCUACUUACAGGUUCUUGAGUCCAGGACAGAGCGAGAUAUUUACUGCAGAUCCUCGGAACGUGGAGCAUAUUCUCAAGACAAGAUUCGAUAACUAUAGUAAAGGACCCGUUGGUAGAGAGAAUCUUGCGGAUCUUUUGGGACAUGGAAUCUUUGCUGUUGAUGGAGAGAAAUGGAAACAACAGAGGAAGCUCGUGAGCUUUGAGUUCUCUACUAGAGUUUUAAGAAAUUUUAGCUACUCUGUUUUUCGGACAAGUGCUUCAAAGCUUGUUAGUUUUGUUUCGGAGUUUGCUCUCUCUGGAAAACCUUUUGAUGCUCAGGAUAUGUUGAUGAGAUGUACAAUAGACUCGAUCUUUAAUGUUGGGUUCGGUGUGGAGUUAAGAUGUCUAGAUGGGUUUAGCGAAGAAGGGGAAGAGUUCAUGAAGGCUUUUGAUGAAGGCAACGUUGCAACUAGUUCCAGGUUCACCGACCCGCUUUGGAAGCUGAAAUGUUUUCUUAACAUUGGAUCAGAGUCUAGACUCAAGAAGAGCAUUGCUACUAUAGACAAGUUUGUCUAUAGUCUCAUUACCACUAAAAGGAAAGAGCUUUCCAAGGAACAUGACACUUCUGUUAGAGAGGACAUGCUAUCGAAAUUUCUUCUCGAGAGUGAGAAAGAUCCGGAGAACAUGAAUGAUAAGUACCUGAGGGAUAUCAUUUUGAAUUUCAUGGUUGCUGGUAAGGACACAACCGCUGCAUCUCUCUCUUGGUUCUUGUACAUGCUCUGCAAAAACCCACUUGUUCAGGAGAAAAUCGUACAAGAAAUCAGAGAUAACAACUGAUGUAAAUGGUUUCAUUGGAAGUGUAACCGAAGAGACUCUUGCUCAGAUGCAGUAUCUCCAUGCGGCCUUGUCUGAGACUCUGAGGCUUUACCCUCCUGUGCCUGAGGACAUGAGGUGUGCAGGAAAUGAUGACGUUCUUCCAGAUGGACAUAGAGUGAGCAAAGGGGAUAAUGUCUACUACAUAGCCUAUGCAAUGGGUAGGAUGACUUACAUUUGGGGUCAAGAUGCUGAGGAAUUCAAGCCAGAGAGAUGGCUCAAGGACGGCGUAUUCCAAACCGAAUUACCAUUCAAAUUCAUAAGUUUUCAUGCUGGUCCAAGAAUCUGCCCAGGCAAGGAUUUUGCAUAUCGGCAAAUGAAGAUAGUAUCAAUGGCACUUCUUCACUUCUUUCGCUUCAAAAUGGCUGAUGAGAACAGCAAGGUGUGUUACAAGAGGAUGCUUACACUUCAUGUCGAUGGAGGACUCCAUCUCUGUGCAAUCCCGAGGACAAGCACUUGACUCAACCAGAACACUUUCCAUACUUUUAUAGUGCCACCAUGAGUUUUGGUCAAAUAUUCUCAAUAAAGGUGGAACAAGACACCAAUGAAUUUCCUUGUACUAAAUAAUCUGCUUUUAUAGAUCUUUGGAUGACUCAACUAUCAUAUUAGAAUCUGAUGAACAAGACACAAUAUUGUA